UACGUAGGGGGCAAGCGUUGUCCGGAAUCAUUGGGCGUAAAGCGUGCGCAGGCGGCGCGUUAAGACAGGUGUGAAAGCCCCGAGCUUAACUUGGGAAUUGCGCUUGUGACUGGCGUGCUGGAGUGUGGCAGAGGGAGGUGGAAUUCCACGUGUAGCAGUGAAAUGCGUAGAGAUGUGGAGGAACACCGAUGGCGAAGGCAGCCUCCUGGGCCAGCACUGACGCUCAUGCACGAAAGCGUGGGGAGCAACAG
rnacentral:rRNA from 1 species